AGUGGGAUAACUGGGUCAAAGGGUGGUUCCAUUCCAAGUUUUCUGAGGAAUAUCCAUACUGCUUUCUAGAAUGGUUACACCAAUUUGCAGUCCCACCAGCAAU
rnacentral:pre_miRNA from 1 species